rnacentral:rRNA from 1 species
GCACAAGCGGUGGAGCAUGUGGUUUAGUUCGAAGCAACGCGAAGAACCUUACCAGGCCUUGGCAUGCAGAGAGCUUUCCAGAGAUGGAUUGGUGCCUUCGGGAACUCUGACACAGGUGCUGCAUGGCUGUCGUCAGCUCGUGUCGUGAGAUGUUGGGUUAAGUCCCGUAACGAGCGCAACCCUUGUCAUUAGUUGCUACAUUCAGUUGGGCACUCUAAUGAGACUGCCGGUGACAAGCCGGAGGAAGGUGGGGAUGACGUCAAGUCCUCAUGGCCCUUAUAGGUGGGGCUACACACGUCAUACAAUGGCUGGUACAAAGGGUUGCCAACCCGCGAGGGGGAGCCAAUCCCAUAAAGCCAGUCGUAGUCCGGAUCGUAGUCUGCAACUCGACUACGUGAAGUCGGAAUCGCUAGUAAUCGUGGAUCAGAAUGUCACGGUGAAUACGUUCCCGGGUCUU